rnacentral:rRNA from 1 species
CCGACUGGGUCUCCAGUCGGUACGUCUGGUUCAGGGUUGNA